CCUACGGGUGGCUGCAGUGGGGAAUAUUGGACAAUGGGCGAAAGCCUGAUCCAGCCAUGCCGCGUGUGUGAAGAAGGCCUUCGGGUUGUAAAGCACUUUCAGUGGGGAAGAAAGCCUUGGGGCUAAUACCCUCGAGGAAGGACAUCACCCACAGAAGAAGCACCGGCUAACUCCGUGCCAGCAGCCGCGGUAAUACGGAGGGGUGCGAGCGUUAAUCGGAAUUACUGGGCGUAAAGCGCGCGUAGGCGGUCUGAUAAGCCGGUUGUGAAAGCCCCGGGCUCAACCUGGGAACGGCAUCCGGAACUGUCAGGCUAGAGUGCAGGAGAGGAAGGUAGAAUUCCCGGUGUAGCGGUGAAAUGCGUAGAGAUCGGGAGGAAUACCAGUGGCGAAGGCGGCCUUCUGGACUGACACUGACGCUGAGGUGCGAAAGCGUGGGUAGCAAACAGGAUUAGAUACCCUAGUAGUC
rnacentral:rRNA from 1 species